rnacentral:rRNA from 1 species
AACGAACGCUGGCGGCAGGCCUAACACAUGCAAGUCGAACGCCGUAGCAAUACGGAGUGGCAGACGGGUGAGUAACACGUGGGAACGUACCCUUCGGUUCGGGAUAACUCAGGGAAACUUGAGCUAAUACCGUAUAAUGACUUCGGUCCAAAGAUUUAUCGCCUGAGGAUGAGCCCGCGUAGGAUUAGCUUGUUGGUGAGGUAAAGGCUCACCAAGGCGACGAUCCUUAGCUGGUCNGAGAGGAUGAUCAGCCACACUGGAACUGAAACACGGUCCAGACUCCUACGGGAGGCAGCAGUGGGGAAUCUUGCGCAAUGGACGAAAGUCUGACGCAGCCACGCCGCGUGAGUGAAGAAGGCCUU